AAGUCGAGCGACGGAUAAGGAGCUUGCUCCUUUGAAGUUAGCGGCGGACGGGUGAGUAACACGUGGGUAACCUACCUAUAAGACUGGGAUAACUUCGGGAAACCGGAGCUAAUACCGGAUAACAUUUAGAACCGCAUGGUUCUAAAGUGAAAGAUGGUUUUGCUAUCACUUAUAGAUGGACCCGCGCCGUAUUAGCUAGUUGGUAAGGUAACGGCUUACCAAGGCGACGAUACGUAGCCGACCUGAGAGGGUGAUCGGCCACACUGGAACUGAGACACGGUCCAGACUCCUACGGGAGGCAGCAGUAGGGAAUCUUCCGCAAUGGGCGAAAGCCUGACGGAGCAACGCCGCGUGAGUGAUGAAGGGUUUCGGCUCGUAAAACUCUGUUAUUAGGGAAGAACAAAUGUGUAAGUAACUGUGCACAUCUUGACGGUACCUAAUCAGAAAGCCACGGCUAACUACGUGCCAGCAGCCGCGGUAAUACGUAGGUGGCAAGCGUUAUCCGGAAUUAUUGGGCGUAAAGCGCGCGUAGGCGGUUUCUUAAGUCUGAUGUGAAAGCCCACGGCUCAACCGUGGAGGGUCAUUGGAAACUGGGAAACUUGAGUGCAGAAGAGGAAAGUGGAAUUCCAUGUGUAGCGGUGAAAUGCGCAGAGAUAUGGAGGAACACCAGUGGCGAAAGGCGACUUUCUGGUCUGUAACUGACGCUGAUGUGCGAAAGCGUGGGGAUCAAACAGGAUUAGAUACCCUGGUAGUCCACGUCGUAACGAUGA
rnacentral:rRNA from 1 species